UACGAAGGGGGCUAGCGUUGCUCGGAAUCACUGGGCGUGAAGGGUGCGUAGGCGGGUCUUUAAGUCAGGGGUGAAAUCCUGGAGCUCAACUCCAGAACUGCCUUUGAUACUGAAGAUCUUGAGUUCGGGAGAGGUGAGUGGAACUGCGAGUGUAGAGGUGAAAUUCGUAGAUAUUCGCAAGAACACCAGUGGCGAAGGCGGCUCACUGGCCCGGAACUGACGCUGAGGUGCGAAAGCGUGGGGAGCAAACAGG
rnacentral:rRNA from 1 species